rnacentral:rRNA from 1 species
CUCACCUACCACCGCGCCUCAGCUCACGCAUCUCUCCCUCAGCUCCGGCAAGCAACACCAGCUCUCCUCUCCCCUCGCUUCCCUGCUGCAAUGUCGACCGACGUGGCCGCCGAUGUCCCGGCCCCUGAGGUGGAGGUGACCGCCGACCCCGUCGUGGAGACCACGGCCGAGGCCGCCGCCGGCGACGCGAAGCCGGCCAAGGAGACCAAGGCCAAGGCGGCCAAGGCCAAGAAGCCCUCCGCCCCGAGGAAGCCCCGCGCUACCCCCGCCCACCCGACCUACGCCGAGAUGGUUUCGGAGGCCAUCACCGCCCUGAAGGAGCGGACGGGGUCGAGCCAGUACGCCAUCGCCGAGUUCGUCGAGGACAAGCACAAGGCGCACCUCCCCGGCAACUUCCGCAAGAUCCUGUCGGUGCAGCUCAAGAAGCUGGUCGCCUCCGGCAAGCUGACCAAGGUCAAGGCCUCCUACAAGCUGUCGGCCGCCGCGGCCAAGCCCAAGCCGGCGGCAAAGAAGAAGCCCGCGGCGAAGAAGAAGGCGCCAGCCAAGAAGACCGCCACCAAGACCAAGGCCAAGGCGCCCGCCAAGAAGGCCGCCGCCAAGCCCAAGGCCAAGGCCCCAGCGAAAACCAAGGCCGCCGCGAAGCCCAAGGCUGCCGCCAAGCCCAAGGCCAAGGCCCCCGCCAAGACCAAGGCCGCCGCGAAGCCCAAGGCUGCCGCCAAGCCCAAGGCCCGCCCAGCCAAGGCUGCCAAGACCUCGGCCAAGGACGCGCCAGGGAAGAAGGCGCCCGCCGCCGCGGCGCCCAAGAAGCCUGCCGCCAGGAAGGCGCCCACCAAGAGAUCCACGCCGGUGAAGAAGGCCGCGCCCGCCAAGAAGGCAGCGCCAGCCAAGAAGGCCCCCGCCGCCAAGAAGGCCAAGAAGUAGACUCCUGCGUGAAGAUCCUAGGGCUUGGCGGUAGUUUUCCAGUAGCAGUUUUUCCUGUUCUGUGCUGUUAGUCGAGAUGUCCGUGCUGUGUCGAGGGUUCUAGGCUGUAAAUUUGAAAUCUGGGUUCGGGUGCACCUGUGAUCCGGUGCACCCUUGUGUGUGUGCGUGAGAAACUGUGGCGACGAUCGCGUUGUACUAAGCUUAUGUAUUUGUGUAACUGAAUUGGGGUAAUUGAAUCUUCAUUUUAGCAAAAUCCUU